rnacentral:tRNA from 1 species
GGUGGGCGUAGCUCAGUUGGUUAGAGCGCCAGGUUGUGGCCCUGGAGGCCGUGGGUUCGAAUCUCAUCGUUCACCU